rnacentral:rRNA from 1 species
GACGAACCGUCCAAACGUUAUUCGGAAUCACUGGGCUUACAGAGUUCGUAGGCGGUGCGGUAAGUUGGGUGUGAAAUCCCUUGGCUUAACCAAGGAACUGCGCUCAAUACUGCCGUGCUAGAGGGAGAUAGAGGAAAGCGGAACUGAUGGUGGAGCGGUGAAAUGCGUUGAUAUCAUCAGGAACACCGGUGGCGAAGGCGGCUUUCUGGGUCUUACCUGACGCUGAGGAACGAAAGCUAGGGGAGCAAACGGG